CCUACGGGAGGCAGCAGUGAGGAAUAUUGGUCAAUGGACGCGAGUCUGAACCAGCCAAGUAGCGUGAAGGAUGACUGCCCUAUGGGUUGUAAACUUCUUUUAUAUGGGAAUAAAGUGUUCCACGUGUGGCAUUUUGUAUGUACCUUAUGAAUAAGGAUCGGCUAACUCCGUGCCAGCAGCCGCGGUAAUACGGAGGAUCCGAGCGUUAUCCGGAUUUAUUGGGUUUAAAGGGAGCGUAGAUGGGUUGUUAAGUCAGUUGUGAAAGUUUGCGGCUCAACCGUAAAAUUGCAGUUGAAACUGGCAGUCUUGAGUACAGUAGAGGUGGGCGGAAUUCGUGGUGUAGCGGUGAAAUGCUUAGAUAUCACGAAGAACUCCGAUUGCGAAGGCAGCCCACUAAACUGCAACUGACACUGAGGCUCGAAAGUGUGGGUAUCAAACAGGAUUAGAUACCCUUGUAGUC
rnacentral:rRNA from 1 species